GAUGAAGACAUAGAUAUAGGUAGAGUAGAUUCACAGGUUAUGAUGAAGACAUAGAUAUAGGUAGAGUAGAUUCACAGGUUAUGAUGAAGACAUAGAUAUAGGUAGAGUAGAUUCACAGGUUAUGAUGAAGACAUAGAUAUAGGUAGAGUAGAUUCACAGGUUAUGAUGAAGACAGAGGGGGUAGAGUAGA